ACCAAUGGGAGGCGCCGACCCUGCUGUUUAGGAACGGGACGUCACCUCGAGCAACCGGGGGUCGGCUGACGACGUCGCGUCAACAACACGGGAAAAGCAAACCAGUCGCAAGCUGGGCCUCCACCCGAAAUAUCACCCGUUCCUCCUCUCAACCCCAAACACGCGCUGCCUGUCCCGCUGAGUUACUCCAGCAUUUUGUGUCCGUCUGUCUGUCUGAAACAAAAUGAAGGGUCGGGGAGGGAGGCCGAUCACGUGACCCCUGCCUCGUCGUCUGAUUGGUUUACGAUUACGUCACACGGUUCGGGCGCCUGGAAUGCCUCUCAGCUGCUGGAAGUUUCAACCCAAUGGAAGAACAGCUGCAAUGAACAAGUCUUCACUAUCUUCUUUCAGCUGGCACUAACAGCUUUUUAUGUCUUCCAAUCUCCCGUGGUUUCAGCAAUAUAACAGAUAUACUCUUCAGUCCUCCUGUGCAACUUCAAAAAUGUUUUAUUUCUAAUUAUUCUUAUUUUGGAUUAAGGAUCACCAGCCUGAAACACAGUUUGUCUAACCAGAUGCUGCCUGACCUGCUGAACACAAUGAAAUUUCAGUUUUUAUUAAAAUGCUUUAUAUCCCUUCGUACAUGAGCUGUCACUAAAUAACAGCUAUUUCAAUCUGUGUCUGUAGAGUUCGUCUACCUCCCGAGAAUUGAACUUAAUAUUUUAAUACAAUACUGAGAAAGUGCUGCACCAUGUUAUUGCCCAGUGUUCAUAGAAGAUGAUAAACCAAGAUUCUGAGAACCCUCUCCUAAGUACUGUGGGAGACGUUUAUUACAAUUAAAAGCAUUAAAAAUAGUUCAUUCAA